ensembl:lncRNA
UGUAAACGUGUGUUUCCCAUGACAAUGUAAACGUGUGUUUCCACGGCAAUGUAAAUGUGUGUUUCCCAUGACAAUGUAAAUGUGUGUUUCCCAAUACAAUGUAAAUGUGUGUUUCCCAUGACAAUGUAAACGUGUGUUUCCCAUGACAAUGUAAACGUGUGUUUCCACGGCAAUGUAAACGUGUGUUUCCACGGCAAUGUAAACGUGUGUUUCCACGGCAAUGUAAACGUGUGUUUCCCACGGCAAUGUAAACGUGUGUUUCCCAUGACAAUGUAAACAUGUGUUUCCCAUGACAAUGUAAACAUGUGGUUCCCAUGACAAUGUAAACGUGUGUUUCGUGUGUUUCCCAUGGCAAUGUAAACGUGUGUUUCCCAUGACAAUGUAAACGUGUGUUUCCCAUGACAAUGUAAACGUGUGGUUCCCAUGACAAUGUAAAUGUGUGUUUCCCAUGACAAUGUAAACGUGUGUUUCCCAUGACAAUGUAAACGUGUGGUUCCCAUGACAAUGUAAAUGUGUGUUUCCCAUGACAAUGUAAAUGUGUGUUUCCCAAUACAAUGUAAAUGUGUGUUUCCCAUGACAAUGUAAACGUGUGUUUCCCAUGACAAUGUAAACGUGUGUUUCCACGGCAAUGUAAACGUGUGUUUCCCACGACAAUGUAAACAUGUGGUUCCCAUGACAAUGUAAACAUGUGGUUCCCAUGACAAUGUAAACGUGUGUUUCGUGUGUUUCCCAUGGCAAUGUAAACGUGUUUCCCAUGACAAUGUAAACGUGUGUUUCCCAUGACAAUGUAAAUGUGUGGUUCCCAUGACAAUGUAAACGUGUGGUUCCCAUGACAAUGUAAAUGUGUGUUUCCCAUGACAAUGUAAAUGUGUGUUUCCCAUGACAAUGUAAAUGUGUGUUUCCCAUGACAAUGUAAACGUGUGUUUCCCACGACAAUGUAAACGUGUGUUUCCCACGACAAUGUAAACAUGUGGUUCCCAUGACAAUGUAAACAUGUGGUUCCCAUGACAAUGUAAACGUGUGUUUCGUGUGUUUCCCAUGGCAAUGUAAACGUGUUUCCCAUGACAAUGUAAACGUGUGUUUCCCAUGACAAUGUAAACGUGUGUUUCCCAUGACAAUGUAAACGUGUGGUUCCCAUGACAAUGUAAAUGUGUGUUUCCCAUGACAAUGUAAACGUGUGUUUCCCAUGACAAUGUAAACGUGUGUUUCCCAUGACAAUGUAAACGUGUGGUUCCCAUGACAAUGUAAACGUGUGGUUCCCAUGACAAUGUAAACGUGUGUUUCCCAUGACAAUGUAAACGUGUGGUUCCCAUGACAAUGUAAACGUGUGGUUCCCAUGACAAUGUAAACGUGUGGUUCCCAUGACAAUGUAAACGUGUGUUUCCCAAUAAAGCCCCUCGAAUUGAGGGAGAAACAGGAUGUAGCAGCUCACAUUGUUCUAGAAUGAGAUCACCCCAGAGUUCUCAGAAAAACCUUCCUCCUCUGUCUGUGUACACACACACACACACACACACACACACACACACAAGAUGCCUCGCCUCUCCUCUUGUCUCUGUUCACACUCGCCAAGAUCCAUGUCUUGACUACACAGUAACACAGUAUACACACACCCACACUUCCCACACCCCCACCCACACACACACACUCACCAAUAAGAUUACAUAUCACUCUACACACCCCCUAAAUACAGGAAGUGGUCAUUAUUAUGCUGAUUAUAAUCAAUGGGUAUUUUUGUAGAGGUUGAUAAAUUUUUUGCUAGGGCAAAUCAAGUCUGACAUUUUUACGUGAAAAUUAGAAACCUUUUAAAAAUGUCCUUUAAAAUAAUCUAAAACCCCAGCUUUCCUGUCAUACAAUCUAAGACCCCAGUUUUCCUGUCAUAUAAUCUAACCCCAGUUUUCCUGUCAUAUAAUCUAACCCCAGUUUUCCUGUCAUAUAAUCUACACCCCAGUUUUCCUGUCAUAUAAACUAACCCCAGUUUUCCUGUCAUAUAAUCUAACCCCAGUUUUCCUGUCAUAUAAUCUAACCCCAGUUUUCCUGUCAUAUAAACUAACCCCAGUUUUCCUGUCAUAUAAUCUAACCCCAGUUUUCCUGUCAUAUAAUCUAAUCCCAGUUUUCCUGUCAUAUAAUCUACACCCCAGUUUUCCUGUCAUAUAAUCUACACCCCAGUUUUUAUGUGCAGAAGAUCUAGGUGCUGCUGUAGGCCCUCCUUGGUUGGUGACAGAAGCACCAGAUAAACAGUAGACAUUUAAUUAUUUCUGAGUCCAAUAGGGUGAGGCCGGGUGCUGCAGACUGUUCUGGUGCCCUCGCCAAUUUGUUGAUAUAUAUGUUGCAGAGGGUGGGGCUUAAGCUGCAUCCCUGUCUCACCCCACGGCCCUGAGGAAAGAAAUGUGUGUGUUUUUAUUGCAAAUUUUAACUAUACACUUGUUGUUUGUGUACAUGGAUUUUAUAAUGUCGUGUGUUUCCCCCCGGACAAUGCUUUUCAUCAAUGUGUACAGCAGACCCUCAUGCCAAAUUGAGUUAAAGGCUUUUUGAUGUAGGGAGAGGUGGUCCUCGUAACGCCUGGGCCCACUGAUGUCUGGUGCCAGGGAUAGAUGGUGAGCACAGUGAUCAGGCUGGUUCCCACCAGGCUAGGUUAUACCCUGGACAUUAUAUGGUGAUCAGGCUGGUUCCCACCAGGCUAGGUAAUACCCUGGACAUUAUAUGGUGAUCAGGCUGGUUCCCACCAGGCUAGGUUAUACCCUGGACAUUAUAUGGUGAUCAGGCUGGUACCCACCAGGCUAGGUUAUACCCUGGACAUUAUAUAGAGAUCAGGCUGGUUAUACCCUGGACAUUAUAUGGAGAUCAUGCUGGGUUCCCACCAGGCUAGGUUAUACCCUGGACAUUAUAUGGUGAUCAGGCUGGUUCAAACCAGGCUAGGUAAUACCCUGGACAUUAUAUGGAGAUCAGGCUGGUUAUACCCUGGACAUUAUAUGGAGAUCAGGCUGGUUCCCACCAGGCUAGGUUAUACCCUGGACAUUAUAUGGUGAUCAGGCUGGUUCCCACCAGGCUAGGUUAUACCCUGGACAUUAUAUGGUGAUCAGGCUGGUUUUAUCAGGCUAGGUUAUACCCUGGACAUUAUAUGGUGAUCAGGCUGGUUCCACCAGGCUAGGUUAUACCCUGGACGUUAUAUGGUGAUCAGGCUGGUUUCAUCAGGCUAGGUUAUACCCUGGACAUUAUAUGGUGAUCAGGCUGGUUCCACCAGGCUAGGUUAUACCCUGGACAUUAUAUGGUGAUCAGGCUGGUUCCCACCAGGCUAGGUUAUACCCUGGACAUUAUAUGGUGAUCAGGCUGGUUCCCACCAGGCUAGGUUAUACCCUGGACAUUAUAUGGUGAACACAGUGAUCAGGCUGGUUCCCACCAGGCUAGGUUAUACCCUGGACAUUAUAUGGUGAUCAGGCUGGUUCCCACCAGACUAGGUUAUACCCUGGACAUUAUAUGGUGAUCAGGCUGGUUCCCACCAGGCUAGGUUAUACCCUGGACAUUAUAUGGUGAUCAGACUGGUUCCCACCAGGCUAGGUUAUACCCUGGACAUUAUAUGGUGAACAUAGUGAUCAGGCUGGUUCCCACCAGGCUAGGUUAUACCCUGGACAUUAUAUGGUGAUCAGGCUGGUUUCAUCAGGCUACGUUAUACCCUGGACAUUAUAUGGUGAUCAGGCUGGUUCCCACCAGGCUAGGUUAUACCCUGGACAUUAUAUGGUGAUCAGGCUGGUUCCCACCAGGCUAGGUUAUACCCUGGACAUUAUAUGGUGAUCAGGCUGGUUCCCACCAGGCUAGGUUAUACCCUGGACAUUAUAUGGUGAUCAGGCUGGUUCCCACCAGGCUAGGUUACACCCUGGACAUUAUAUGGUGAUCAGGCUGGUUCCCAACAGGCUAGGUUAUACCCUGGACAUUAUAUAGUGAUCGGGCUGGUUCCCAACAGGCUAGGUUAUACCCUGGACAUUAUAGAGUGAUCAGGCUGGUUCCCACCAGGCUAGGUUAUACCCUGGACAUUAUAUAGUGAUCAGGCUGGUUCCCACCAGGCUAGAUUAUACCCUGGACAUUAUAUGGUGAUCAGGCUGGUUCCCACCAGGCUACGUUAUACCCUGGGCAUUAUAUGGUGAACAUAGUGAUCAGGCUGGUUCCCACCAGGCUAGGUUAUACCCUGGACAUUAUAUGGUGAACAUAGUGAUCAGGCUGGUUCCCACCAGGCUAGGUUAUACCCUGGACAUUAUAUGGUGAACAUAGUGAUCAG